GACAGAGGGUGCAAACGUUGUUCGGAAUUACUGGGCGUAAAGCGCGUGUAGGCGGCUAUGCAAGUCGGAUGUGAAAGCCCUCGGCUCAACCGGGGAAGUGCACCCGAAACUGCAAAGCUAGAGUCUCGGAGAGGAUCGUGGAAUUCCCAGUGUAGCGGUGAAAUGCGUAGAUAUUGGGAGGAACACCAGUGGCGAAGGCGGCUCACUGGACCGGUACUGACGCUGAUGCGCGAAAGCGUGGGGAGCAAACGGG
rnacentral:rRNA from 1 species